GAAAGGAAUCUCAGUUCCCCCUUGACCUCUCUCCCCGGACACAACUUUAACCUUUAUGUAGAAAGUCAAGAGUAAUUUAAAGGAGGUACAGCUCCUUUAAAAAAGGAUACAACCUUCACUAGCGGCUAUACCACCUAACUUAUCCCCAUUACUGUAGGCCCUCAAGCAGCCACCAAUAAAGAGUGCGUCAAAGCUCUACACAUAAAAUCCAAUAGUAACAUGAUUCCCUUCCCACUAACAGGCCAGCCUAUGCCAAUAGGAGUAUUAAUGCUAAAAUGAGUAACUAGGGAUUCACCCUCCACAAGCGCAAGCUUACAUCCUCAUAUUAUUAACAGAUAACAAACCAAUACCUCAAUUACAACAAGACUAACAUAUUAAACCUACCCUGUUACACCGACCAAGGAGCGCCCGCUAGAAAGAUUAAAAUCUGUAAAAGGAACUAGGCAAACCCAAGGCCCGACUGUUUACCAAAAACAUAGCCUUCAGCCCACCAAGUAUUGAAGGUGAUGCCUGCCCAGUGACGUAACGUUCAACGGCCGCGGUAUCCUAACCGUGCGAAGGUAGCGCAAUCAAUUGUCCCAUAAAUCGAGACUUGUAUGAACGGCUAAACGAGGUCUUAACUGUCUCUUACAGAUAAUCAGUGAAAUUGAUCUUCCUGUGCAAAAGCAGGAAUGCUAACAUAAGACGAGAAGACCCUGUGGAACUUAAAAAUCAGCGGCCACUACACACAAACUCAAACCUACUAGGCCUCCCCCCUCCCAAAUACUGGCCCGCAUUUUUCGGUUGGGGCGACCUUGGAGAAAAACAAAUCCUCCAAAAAUAAGACCACACCUCUUAACCAAGAACAACCCCUCAACGUACUAACAGUAACCAGACCCAAUACAAUUGAUCAAUGGACCAAGCUACCCCAGGGAUAACAGCGCAAUCUCCUCUAAGAGCCCACAUCGACGAGGAGGUUUACGACCUCGAUGUUGGAUCAGGACAUCCUAAUGGUGCAGCCGCUA
rnacentral:rRNA from 1 species